CUUUAUCAGCUGCCCCAGAACCUCCACCAGGGUCUCCGAGUGCAGCCAGAGCCUCUUGGCCUUGGUGUCCCAAAACCCUGAGCAACCCCCAAGUCCCUCCCAGGAGCGGUCAACUCCCUCCAGCCCACACAGCCCCUGCAAGUUCCUCCCGUGGCACUGACCAUGUCUUAGUUCAAGGUCUUUAUUUUUACCCUGGUUUUGGGUGUUUGGAAAGUUCAAAGAGAAAUUAAAAGAAAAUCAAGGCCACAGGGAGCCUGGAAGAGGUGGAGCCCCCCAGGCAGGUGUCUUCUCAACACGGAUCACCAGGACCACAAAUCACCAGGGCUCUGCCCAACGGGGGUCACUGGGGAUACUCCAAUGUGGAUCCUCCCAUGGGGGAUGGAGCUGGAGCAGCGCACAAAGCUCUUCCCUCACUUGGAGCACUCACAGGGAUUCCCUCAGUGAUGCCUCCGUUGGUGUUGGAUCAAGGCUGAGCUGUGCCUGAAGCUCUUGCCACACUCCAGACACUAGUAUGGCCUCUCUCCAGUGUGAAUCCACUGAGGUAGGAGGAGAUAGGAGCUGCUCUGAAACCUCUUCCCAUGUUCAGGACACUUGUAGGGCAUGUGACAUGACAAGGAGUGGGGCUGGGAUGUGGUCUGAUGCCUGUGACAUGACAAGGAGUGGGACUGGGAUUUGUUUGGUGCCUGUGAAAUCCCAAGGGCAGUGUCACAGUGGGGGCAGCUCUCAGUGUGCCCAGCAGGUCACACUGUCCAGUGCAGCCCGUGCCAGCAGUCACUGUGCACAUGGGGCAGGCUGGGCUGGACGGGGGUCGGGGCAGAAAUGCCACCCCCGGGACUGGGGUGUCCCCCUGCCUCUGGGGCCUGGCCCCUGGUGGGAGCGCCUUGGGCAGGGCACAGGGCUGCUGCUGGGCCAGGGAGACAGGCCUUGUCCCCUGCCAGCUGCCCGGGCCCCUCUGAUGCCUGUCUCAUGUCCCCGUGGCUCCUGUCCCUGCUACUCCCUGCCACCUUCACUCCCUCCAUCAAAGCCCCACUCAACCUCUGCACGGUGACCUCUGGAAAGAAAGAAAGAAUGAAGGAAAGGAAGUGUUGUCUAUUCACCCAGGCUGGAUGCCAGGCACCCACCAAAGCUGCUCUCUCACUCUCCUCCAGAGAUGGACGAGAGAUAGAAAAUGGAAUGAAGGCUUCCUGGGUUGAGAUAAAGACUGGGACAGAUCACUCAGCAAAUGCCAUCAUGGCAAAACAUGUUUGAAAUUAGAGACAUUAAUGGAAUUUAUUACUAUCAAAAUCAGAGCAGAAUAGUGAGAAGUAAAAUAAAGCUUUAAAAACACCUGCCCAUCCCUCCCUCCUUCCCAGCUCUACCUCUUCCCCCAGUGGGUACAGGGAGACAGGGAAUGGGGGUUCUGGUCAGCUCAUCGCGCAUUGUUUCUGCUGCUGCUCAGGGAGAAGAGUCAUUCCCCUUCUGUGCCAAGGGUCCCUCCUGGAGACACUUCUCCAUGAGCUUUUCUAAGAAAUUCCAGUUCCCAAACCUUGGCCAGAUGGAAGACAAGGAGGCUGCCAGGAAGAGGAAGAUUCCCUGGGACACACAGGCAGAAAACGAGCUCAGAACAGAGACCAGGGAGGACAAAUCCCUGUGGCAGAAGCUGGUGGUCCCUGAGCAGCUUCAUGGUAGGGAGAAGCCCUAGAGGUACUUGGAACAUGGGAAGAGCUUCAUCCCGUGCUCCAGCCUUCUCACCCACCUUCGGGUGCACCUGGAUGGGACCCUGUUUGAGCAGGGCCAGAUUUGGGCUGGAAUAUCGGGAUUCCCAGACCUAGGUCAUUGAGUGCGCCCAGCACAUCCCUCACCGAACUGGAGAUGCUGCAAGUCCAGUACAGUCAGAGCAGGGGAAACAGGAUUUCCUAUUCCCAAAUCUUGACCAGAUGGAGGGGAAGGCUGCAAGGAAGAGGAAGAUGCCUUGGGACACUCAGGCAGGCACUGAGCUGAGAGAACACAGAGGACAAAUCCCCACAGCAGAACCUUAUGGAAGAGGCCAUUUUGAGCGACUCCAUGGCACAGGAAUCCAAAAGGGAGGAAAAGCCCCAGAAAUCCCACACGGGGAAGGGCUGCAAACCCAGUCCAGGGAUCUGUGAGCAGGGAAGACCCUCCUUGUGCCAGGAAGGUGGCUGGAGAUCCAGCUGGAGCUCAGACCCUGUGGUCUCUGAACAGCUUCAUGGCAAGGAGAAGCCCUAGAGGUGCUUGGAAUAUGGGAAGAGCUGCAGCCGGAGCUUCAACCACCUCACUCACCUUUGGGUGCACACAGGGGAGCAGCCCUACAAGUUGGGAGAAUGUGAGUAGAGGUACAGGCAUGGCUCCCACCUCCUCUGCCACCAGAGAGUGCACACAUGGAACGACCCUAUAAGUUCUUGGAAUGUGGGAAGAGCUUCAGCGACAAUUCCCACCUGCUCUGGCAGCAGAAGAUCCACACUGGGGAAUGGCCCUACAACUGUGGGUAGUGUGGGAAGAGCUUCAGAGACAGCUCAUUACCCACCAGUGCAUGCACACCAGCAUGCACACCAGCAGCCAGAAGAUCCACACUGGGGAAUGGCCCUACGAGUGUUCUGAGUGUGGGAAAAAGGCUUGGAGCAGUUUGGAUCUCCUCAAGCGCCAGCGCACACACACACAGGGCAGAGGCCCUUCCGCUGCCCUGACUUGCAGGAAGGGCUUCACCCGCAACUUCAGCCUCCUUACCCACCUGUGCAUCCACACACAGGAGACGCCCCUUGAAUGUCCCUGUUUCUCCAGGAGUUAUCACUUGACCAGACACCAAUAGAGCCACCAGUAAGGGAAGCUCUGUGAGUUGACUGCAGGAAGAGCUUUGUGUGCUGCCCCAACUUUAUCACCCACUGCAGGACCCCCAUUGGACAGAGCCCUGGUGACCCACAUUCCUGGUGAUCCAGGUUGAGAAGACACCUGGCUGGUGCUCUCCACUUCAUCCUAGUUCCCCAUAGGCACCUAAUUGAAUGCAGGGGCAGGAACGUCCAUCAGGACACAGACUAACAUCAGGAAUUCAUCAUAAGGAAAAGGCGAUUUAUUAAUGUUAAACUCCGAAAAGUCUUACCUGCUGUUCUGGUUUGAAAGCAAAACCAGUGAGAGACUCCAAGUCAGAAAUACAAUUUAUUAGGAAAAAGGAAAAGAAACAAAACGCAUGCAAUAAUACAAAAGAAAAACCACGGACAGAGUCAGAAUACAACCUGACACCCUUUUGGCCAGUGUGUUGGUAGCAGUCCAAAUUGGAAUGGCUGCAGUCCCAUGGAGUGGCAGAUGUGGUUCUGUUGGAGCAGGGAUCCUGUAGAAGGGUGUAGUCUUCCUCUGAAGGUCCAGUGGAGAACCCCAGCUGUUCCUCUUGGGAACCAGUGGAAAGGCUGCCUCUAAUGUCCCCAAAACCCAGAUUAUAUCCAGUUAGGAAUGCUUGGCUCCUCCCUCUGGGCAGAGCAUCUCACAAUGAGAAGUUAUAGUUCUUAUCAGUUUCUCAGUGACAUUCAAUAGCCCAUUAUCAGCAGAUGUCUCCCCUGAGAGAGGAUUGGUUGUGAAAGAGAUAAGGAAAAUUGUCCACUUAACAGAAGACAAUUGCCAUACAGAUGGGAAAUGGAAUACAUCUUGCUUCUCAAACUGGGACACCUGCUCUGUCCAGUGAUUUCAUCUGAUAGCAUCAAGCAUCACUGGGUGAUUUUGGACCCUCCUGUGGCACAGCACAGCUGCUUUUGGGGUGUCAGCAUAGGGAUAACCUCACUCCCACAACCAAAAACUAAGAGGGAAGUUAGAAGGCCUUUAGGCUUGUUGGGAUAUUGUAGGCUAUGGAUUGAAGGAUACACGCAGGCCAUCUGGUUCUUGUAUGAAAAGUUAAUAGAAAAAGAGAUUAUGUGAUAAAAACAUGAUGAGCAAAAGUUUGAGGCUUUAAAGCAAAAAUUAGUCAGUGCACUGGCACUGAGUCUUCCUGCAUUAGACAAACCUUUUUAUCUGCUUGUCAACCCAGAAAAAGGAGUAGCACAUGGAGUAUUAGCCCAGGACUGCAGAGGAUCCAGGAAACCUAUUUAUCAAAACUGCUAGACCCUGUCAGCUGGAGGUGGCCAACCUGCAUUCAGGUGGUGGCAGCGACUGCCCUACUCAUAGAAGAAAGCAAAAAAUUAACUUCUGGGGGAAAAUUGAAAAUAUAUACCCCACACUCGGUUAGCAGUAUCCUAAGCCAAAAGGCUGAGAAAUGGCUCACCAACUCUUGAGUGUUAAAGUAUGAAGCUAUCUUAAUAGAUGAUGAUUUAGAGCUAAUCGUGAGCAACCAACUCAACCCUGCCCAGUUUUUGUAUGAAGAACCAGAUGAGGAAUAAUUACAUAAUUAAGGAAUUAAUACAUAAUUGCCUAGAGGUUAUAAACUAUCAAAUUAAAUAAGAGAAGACCUAACAGAUCAACCACUCCAAGGAGGAAAGCGAUUGUACAUUGAUGGAUCUUCACAGGCAUGAGUGCAUCCACACCAGGGAAUGGCCCUUCGAGUGUCCUGAGUAUGGGAAGAGCUUCAGCACAAGAAGCAACCUGAUUGUUCACUGGAUGAUCCACACCACGGAAUGGCCCUACGAGUCUCCCAAGUAUAGAAAGAGGUUUCAGACCAGCUCCAAUCUCAUCCUGCACAAGCAGAUUCACACAGAGGAGAGGCCCUUCCACUGCCCCAAAUGUGGGAAGGGCUUCAAGCACAACUCCACCCUCAUCAGACACCACUGCAUCCACACCCAAGAGAUGCCCUACAAGUGUUCUGAGUGUGGGAAGAGCUUCUCCAGCAGCUCUCAUUUGACCAGGCACCAAUGGGAGCCACUGGUAAAGAAAGCCCUGUGAGUGCCCCGACUCUUGCAAGAUUUGUCUGCUGCUCCAUCUUCCUCCCCCAUUGGGGGAUCCACAUUGGGAAGAGCCCUGGUGACCCACAUUCCUGGUGAUCCACAUUGGGAAGACACCUGUGCCUUUCCCUGCUCCUGGCAAUGACGUGAGGUGUAAUCGAAGAACGUGAGGAUCUGGCCAUGCCCGCAUUAUUGUAUUUGAUCCCUCCUCAGGUCAUUGCCAGGGGCAGGGAAAGGGACUCUCUAUUUCUUGUGAGGAGAAAGGUGUUCUUUCUGGGUGGGAGAAAAUACAUGGUCAGGAAGAGCUGGUCGGUGUGGUAGUUUUUCCAUUUUUUAAAAAUAGUUUGUCUUAUUCCUUCUGUUAUCAAUAUUAUUGCUGUUCCUGUUUGUUUGUUAACUCGUUGCUGUUCUCAGUAAAUUGUU